UGAUUACGUCCCUGCCCUUUGUACACACCGCCCGUCGCUACUACCGAUUGAAUGGCUUAGUGAGGCCUUCGGAUUGGGUUUCGGGAGCUGGCAACAGUUUCUGAUUUUCAAGAAGUUGGUCAAACUUGGUCAUUUAGAGGAAGUAAAAGUCGUAACAAGG
rnacentral:rRNA from 1 species